UACGAUCGGUGACAGGUGGUGCAUGGUUGUCGUCAGCUCGUGUCGUGAGAUGUUGGGUUAAGUCCCGCAACGAGCGCAACCCCUGUUGUUAGUUGCCAUCAUUAAGUUGGGCACUCUAGCGAGACUGCCGGUGACAAAUCGGAGGAAGGUGGGGAUGACGUCAAAUCAUCAUGCCCCUUAUGUCCUGGGCUACACACGUACUACAAUGGCUAUAACAGCAGGGAGCUAAGGAGUAAUCCCGGAAGCGAAUCCUCAAAAAUAGUCCCAGUUCGGAUUGUGGGCUGAAACCCGCCCACAUGAAGUCGGAAUUGCUAGUAAUGGCAGGUCAGCAUACUGCCGUCGAAUACGUUCCCGGGCCUU
rnacentral:rRNA from 1 species